rnacentral:rRNA from 1 species
UUUUUUAGACUUUUCUUGUAUUAGAGUGACGGGUCAGAUUGAACGCUGCAUGCAAGUUUAACACAUGCUAGUAAAGCUGGGAUUGGAUACUUGCACGGCGUUCGGAGGGGCGAACGGGGGGUACUGCCCAUGAAUAUGCGUAUAUAGUGGGGGGACAACGUUGCUAAUGGGAGGUUAAUACUAUAUACGUCUUACGGUAGAAAGGAAGGGGAUCUUCGGACCUUCCGCUAAUAGAUGAGCCUAAGUCCGAUAGGUUAUUUGUUGGGGUAAAGCUCAACCAGGGCGAGGAUCUUUAGCGACUUUGAGAGGAUGUUCGCCCCCACUGGAAUGGGGCCACGGCCCGAAUUCUUAGGGGAGGAGCCAGUGGGAAUUUUCGGCCAAGGGGGGAAAUCUUGAUCCAGCCAGCCGGGUGGUGGGAGGAAGGCUUUUGGUUUGUAAAGCACUUUUGUUAGGGGAGGAGGCUUACCUGGUUAAUACCCGGGUACAGUGGACGUACCUAACCGAAAAAGCACGGGUAAAUUCUUUCCCGCCGCCCGCGUUAAUACUAAGGGGCCAGGCUUUUCUGGAAUUUAUUGGGGUUAAGGGGGGGCUGGGUGGUCAAUAAAUUCAAAUGUAAAAUCCCCGGGUUUAACUUGGGAAUUGCAUGGAAAAUGGGUAAGUUGGAGUAUGAGAGAGGAUUCUAAAUUCCAAGGGGAGCGGUUAAAUGGGGUGAGAAUUGGGAGGACACCAGAGGGGAAGGGCGGCCUUUUGUCUGUAUAUGAACAUGAGGGUGGAAAGGCUGGGGGGGCAACCAGGAUUGGUUCCCUUGUUGUUCCAUCCGUUAAAGGGCCAAGGUGUCUAUUAGCUGUUGGAGGCCUUCCACGCCUUUAGUGGCUGCAGCUAACGCGAAUAAGUAGCACCGCCUGGGGAGUACGGUCGCAAGACUGAAACUCAAAUGAAUUGACGGGGGCCCGCACAAGCGGUGGAGCAUGUGGUUUAAUUCGAUGCAACGCGAAGAACCUUACCUGGCCUUGACAUCCUCAGAACUUUCCAGAGAUGGAUUGGUGCCUUCGGGAACUCAGAGACAGGUGCUGCAUGGCUGUCGUCAGCUCGUGUCGUGAGAUGUUGGGUUAAGUCCCGCAACGAGCGCAACCCUUUUCCUUAUUUGCCAGCACUUCGGGUGGGAACUUUAAGGAUACUGCCAGUGACAAACUGGAGGAAGGCGGGGACAACGUCAAGUCAUCAUGGCCCUUACAGCCAGGGCUACACACUUGCUACAAUGGUCGGUACAAAGGGUUGCUACUGCGCGAGCAGAUGCUAAUCUCAAAAAGCCUAUCGUAUUCCGGAUCUCAGUCUGCAACUCCACUGCUUGAACUCGGAAUCCCUAUUAAUCCCGGAUCACAAUGCCGCGGUGAAUACUUUCCCGGGCCUUGUACACACCGCCCGUCACACCAUGGGAGUUUGUUGCACCAAAAUUAGGUAGUCUAACCUUAGGGAGGACGCUUACCACGGUGUGGCCAAUGACUGGGGUGAAGUCGUACAGGGGGAAACCGAAAAAA